CCCUUAGAUGUUCUGGGCCGCACGCGCGCUACACUGAUUCAUGCAACAAGUUUUGUCCUUGGCUGAUAGGCCUGGGUAAUCUUUGAACGUGAAUCGUGAUGGGGAUAGAUGAUUGCAAUUAUUCAUCUUCAACGAGGAAUUCCUAGUAAACGCAAGUCAUCAGCUUGCAUUGAUUACGUCCCUGCCCUUUGUACACAUCGCCCGUCGCACCUACCGAUUGAAUGGUCCGGUGAAAUCUUCGGAUCUGAGAGAUGUCUGAUUAAUUUCGGACGCCUUUUGGAAAAGUUGCUUAAACCUUACCAUUUAGAGGAAGGUGAAGUCGUAACA
rnacentral:rRNA from 1 species